rnacentral:lncRNA from 1 species
AUGGAUAUAGGCAUAUAUAUAAUAGUACUUAUAUAAAUUUAUUAUAUAUAUAUUUUUUAUCAUAUAAAUUUUAAAUAAGAAUUAAUAUUUAAAAAUAAUUAACUUAAAAACAAAAAGAAAGGAGGAUGUACAAACAUGAUACACGCUGCACAGUAAUACUAUUGACACUCAACCCCCAACACAAAAUACCUAAUCUGAUCCUUCACUUCAAUUAGAAAUCCAUCUCUUCACCUUCACUUUCCAUGACCAAAGAAUCAAUACGACUCGUGACAGCAAUUUGUUUCUGAGAUUUAUCAUCGUCAUCGGACCCAACUGACUUGCUCUUUUUCCUCUUUAGUCGUGACCCACUAUCUUCUUUCGCAGGUUCCUCAUCAUCAAUCAUCUCCUCAAUCCUCACAGCAUGAAUAAGAAAAAAGCUGGUGAGUUUAAAACGGAUCCGGAUAUUAUCCGUAUCCGGAUAAUAUCCGACGGAUAUGGAUACAGAUCUUUUUAUUUUUAAAUUUGCGGAUACGGAUCCAGAUUCGGAUAUGAUUUUUAGUAGGCGGAUUCGGAUACGGAUAUGGGCAAAUCCGUAUCCAUUUUAUCCGUUUGACACCCCUAAGUUCAAGUAUAUUAGGGCAUCUCCAACUCCAAAAACCCUUAGCUAAAAUUGUAUAUGUGGAAUCUAGGUGGCACUUGCAGAUAUUAUCUAAAAAUUAUACAACUCCACCCCUUAGCAAAAAAUAUAGCCAACCAUGUUUGGUUGGCUAUAUUUGUAGAAUUAACUGAGCCAUUAGGUAUCAUUUUACACCAGCAAAAUUAUAGAUAAUCCGUUGGAGUAUAUACAUGUCCCCUUUUUAAAAGUGCUUCUACUUAUUUACACAAACGGGUAAAGAAAAGCAGAAGCCAGAAGCAUCUUCUGCGAAACAAACAAGUCCAUAUUGCCCUCGGAGAUGCUCUUAUUAUAAUAAAAAUAAGAAAAAAAUAUAAAAAUAUAAUUAUAAUUAACAUAUAAAUUAGUUAUGCUAAAUUACUUGCACAAUAAGAUUCAGAAUUAGCAAUGACAAGCCUAAUCCGCUACGAAUGCCAGAUUGUAUCGUUGCAUUAGGCCUCUCAAAACUGAGGCUUAAAGUUUUGGAAAUUUAUAAAACGUGCAGCGAAUUACUAAAUUGUUAUGUCUUUAUAUAUACUAGCCUUUAAUCCGUGCGAAACACGGGCGGUUAUAUAAUUCGUAAUUUAUUUUUUAUAAUUUAAAUUGUAACAUCAUUUUAUUAGUAUUUUAAUAUUAAUGGAUUGAAUUUUAAUUAAAUUAUAUUAACCAACAGAUAUAUUGUCGUGUAAUAAUAGAUUAGAGUUAGAAAAAAUAUGUAAUUAUUCGUGUUUGUAUUGAAAAAAAAUAUUCAAAAUUAUGAAUUUAUAAUUUUAUUUUAUCGUCAUUCUUGUAUUUAUUAUGAGAUAGAUUUUUAGUGUUGUAGUUUAUUUUAAACUUGUACUUAUAAGAGAUAGAUUUUUAGUCUUGUAAUUGCUUAAGACUUGUACCUAUUAAGAGAUAGAUUUCUGGUGUGAUCCUUUUUUUUAGCAGGAUAAUAAUAUAAGAAUGACCACAAAACAUGACUAGACCAAAAAAACAUGAACAAAAUUUAGGAUUACAAAUUAUACCCAUGUUGGCUUAUUAAAGUAUAGUAUAGACAAUUUAUAAAAUAUAUUUUAUUAAUUUAUUAUUAAAAAAUAAAUUUAAAAUUGAUAUACCUUGAUAAUCUUAUUUUUCUUUUCAUGUAUUAUUUUAAGAGGUAUAUUUUUCAUUAUGUAAUUAUUUGAUUAAUCUUGUGAUUAAAUUUUUGAUUCUUUUAAAAUAUUUGUAAGAAUUGAUUGGAUUCUAAUACUAAUUAUUAUUUUAAUUUUAAUUUGUCAACUUUUAUGUUAGUAAAGUUUUAAGGAUGCAUUUUAUUUUAUAAUUUAUAUGUUUAAUGUAUAUUAUAAUUUUGCACUAAUGUGUUUUUGUAUUAUGUUUAUUUCAUAAUUUCAUUUUCAAUUCAUUCUAGAAAUUUUUUCAAAUACAAUCAUAUUUUUAAAUCUUUUUCCCAGAACUUUUCUCUCUCUCUCUCUCACACACACAUAUUCAAAUAUUAAUAAAUAAAUUUAUUGAGGAUAAGUAUAUUAUUUCUGAGGUGAGAAGACGGUAUUCAUUGGACGAGUUUUUUUUAUCUUAUCUAAAUUACAUUUAUAAAUCACACACACUUAUAGGGGCCUACCCUCUACGGGUAGGGGUGAGAAAGAAACCGAGUUAAAAUCGAAACGCAACCGAAAUUAUUAAAAACCGACAAAUAUCAAAUCGCAUAAAACUGAAUCGAAUCGAAACCGAAAAUUUAAAAACCGAACCGAUUAUAAUGAUUACGGGUUCAGUUUUAGGUUAGAACCGAACCGAAAAAACCGAACCGAUUAUAAAUAAAUAAAUAAAUAAAUAUAUAUAUAUAUAUAUAUAUAUAUAUAUAAUUUAAACUUAGACAGUAUUUUAUUAGUAUUUUAGUGUUAAUGAAUUAAAUUUUAAUUAAAUUAUAUUAAUCAACUGAUUAUAUUUCUCACGAAAAUUUGGUUUUUACAAUUUAUUAUCUAUUUAUAAAUAUAUUUUUGUUAUUAAUAUGUGAUAAUUUAUUAUUCAAUUAAUUUUUUAUAUAUAUAUAUAUAUAUAUAUAUAUAUAUAUAUAUAUAAAAAUUCUUGUUAAAAGUGAUAUUCAAAAUUGGAUACUUUAUUGGCCAUGAGAGACCAAGAAGUCUUCCAGAAAGUUAUCGAAGAAUUGAACACAAACCCAUUUAUCUCACACACUUUCUUCUGCUCUCCUGCGAAAGCCCAUUUUAUUCUUAUAUAUUAGUAAACCUUUUUCAUCUCUCCGUUCAAAUCCCCCUAAAACCCCCUCUCAAAGCCCUAAUUUUUUUGCCUAAACGCAUCAAAUUCAGUUGCCCCUUGACCCAAUAAGUGGCCCUCUUCAAAAUCCGCCUUAAAGGGUUGUAAUUCUAUUGAUAGUAGUGACAAUGGCUUCAUUCUUGACGGAAUUUUCGUGUGUCAUAACAGUGUUACCACCACCAUUUGUCGUCUUUAUCAAAAUCUUGUGAAGGGCAAUGAUUGAAUUAAAUUUUGUAUUAUUAUAGAUCUAGCUACUAAUAUCAAUAUGGACUCCUUAAUAAUAUCAAAUUUAAUUUGAGAAAAUUUGAAAGCCUAGCAGUUAUAGAUAUGAGAAAGAGAGAAAGAACAAAUCGUGUUUUUGGUGCUAGUACAUGCCGCCUGCAUUCAAGCUUUUGUGUGGAUAUGUUUGGAGUAUAACUUGCAUGUUGACAAAAUACGUGAUGAUUGGUUAAAGGUAAGAUUUUCAUUAGCAUCCAAAUCAUAAAAUUUCUCAAGGUAAACAUUUAAAUUACAAAUUAAAUAUUGUUUUUCGCCUGAGUCCUGUGAUGUAUUUCAAAAAUUCUGAAUUUUCACAUUUUAAAUUACUGCUUCUGUUGUACUUUAUGUCUCAAAAUCCAGCACUAUGAAGACUAUAUAUGCACUGCAAACAUGUUCUAUUAGCAACACAUAUAUGAUGAUCUCCUGUCUUCAAGAAAAUAUUGAUUUUCAUAUAAAUUUUUCUUAUACAUAUAUAGAUAUUAUAAUUUACUUUUUAAACACUAUAUAGACUUUUAGAAUAGAGAAACUACAAAUAUAAAUAAAUAUUUUAAAUGAGAAAGUAUGUGGGAAUAAGCUAAGUUCGUAAAAUAAUGGAUAUUAAAUUUCUUAUAUAUCCAUAUAACUUUGUUUUAUAAUUAGGUUAUUGGAGAACAAUUUAUAAUUUUAGCACGAAUUUAUGAAAGUCAUUUUUUUUCUUGAUGAAUCUGUACAUUUAUCUUUAACACAGAUGUCUAUAUUAAGUGCGAAAAUUUUGAAUUUCUUUAUUUUCACCAUGACCUUAUUUAUACAUCGUCUGUGGAUAUUCAAAUGGGCCUAAAUUUUUUCUCGGCCCAAUACAGGAUCUUGAGCCAUCUAGAUACUUCUAUAUCCAUCGUCAAGAUCUAUAUAUCUCAAUAAGCAUAUACACAUCUACAAACUAUAUCUACAUAUACAUAAAAACACACAUCGUGUGUAUAUAUCAUAUUUUUAUAUAAAUAAAUAAAUAAAUAUAUAUAUAUAUAUAUAUAUAUAUAUAUAAUUUAAACUUAGACAGUAUUUUAUUAGUAUUUUAGUGUUAAUGAAUUAAAUUUUAAUUAAAUUAUAUUAAUCAACUGAUUAUAUUUCUCACGAAAAUUUGGUUUUUACAAUUUAUUAUCUAUUUAUAAAUAUAUUUUUGUUAUUAAUAUGUGAUAAUUUAUUAUUCAAUUAAUUUUAAAUCAGAUUUUUCAUAUUUCGUAUAUCUCCAUAUGUAUGAAAAAAAUAUUUGUCGGGUAACAAAUUAGAGUUAGAAAAGGUUACGUAAGAGUUUGUGUUGAUUAAUUUGAGAAAAUUUGAAAGCCUAGCAGUUAUAGAUAUGAGAAAGAGAGAAAGAACAAAUCGUGUUUUUGGUGCUAGUACAUGCCGCCUGCAUUCAAGCUUUUGUGUGGAUAUGUUUGGAGUAUAACUUGCAUGUUGACAAAAUACGUGAUGAUUGGUUAAAGGUAAGAUUUUCAUUAGCAUCCAAAUCAUAAAAUUUCUCAAGGUAAACAUUUAAAUUACAAAUUAAAUAUUGUUUUUCGCCUGAGUCCUGUGAUGUAUUUCAAAAAUUCUGAAUUUUCACAUUUUAAAUUACUGCUUCUGUUGUACUUUAUGUCUCAAAAUCCAGCACUAUGAAGACUAUAUAUGCACUGCAAACAUGUUCUAUUAGCAACACAUAUAUGAUGAUCUCCUGUCUUCAAGAAAAUAUUGAUUUUCAUAUAAAUUUUUCUUAUACAUAUAUAGAUAUUAUAAUUUACUUUUUAAACACUAUAUAGACUUUUAGAAUAGAGAAACUACAAAUAUAAAUAAAUAUUUUAAAUGAGAAAGUAUGUGGGAAUAAGCUAAGUUCGUAAAAUAAUGGAUAUUAAAUUUCUUAUAUAUCCAUAUAACUUUGUUUUAUAAUUAGGUUAUUGGAGAACAAUUUAUAAUUUUAGCACGAAUUUAUGAAAGUCAUUUUUUUUCUUGAUGAAUCUGUACAUUUAUCUUUAACACAGAUGUCUAUAUUAAGUGCGAAAAUUUUGAAUUUCUUUAUUUUCACCAUGACCUUAUUUAUACAUCGUCUGUGGAUAUUCAAAUGGGCCUAAAUUUUUUCUCGGCCCAAUACAGGAUCUUGAGCCAUCUAGAUACUUCUAUAUCCAUCGUCAAGAUCUAUAUAUCUCAAUAAGCAUAUACACAUCUACAAACUAUAUCUACAUAUACAUAAAAACACACAUCGUGUGUAUAUAUCAUAUUUUUACUAGAUCUAGAACCUUUCAAUUCUAAUUUCGAUCACUAUAUAGACCUUCAUAUACUGCUAUUUGUUCGAUAACAGAUCAUCGAUCAUAUUUCUCGUCCACAAUCGUAAAUGAAAAAAAAGCGUGAUAAAAUUAUCUUGGACGGGGUCAUCUUGCUAUCUUGUAAGUAAUCCCUCUUCUAUUUUGUAUGUAAUUAGUUUAGAUCUUAUUUUAUCCAGAGUUAAAUUAUAACGAGUUCACGCUGCUUUAACGAUAUAUCAAUUUACAAGUGGCCAUAUUUUAUCUUUGAUAAUCGUGCGAUUGUUGUAAAUUAUUUCAUUUUUAAUCAUUUUUUUCCUGAAUUGAUUUGGUUUAAUUUGAAAUAUAUUUAGUCGUCAAUAAUUGUUUAAAUUACGUUAUUAUUGUAAUUGACAACUGAUUGAUUUAAAUAUUUUUUUUAUCCUUUAUCACACAGGUAAAACUAACACUAAUAUAAGUCAACUUUAUACUCAAACAAUGAAGGAGGUGCUUCAAUUUUCAGGUAAUUAAUGUUGAUCAACUUAUUGUUACUGCUAAAAGUAUCUACCACCAUAAAAUUGAAGGACUUUCGUUAUGAUUUCUUGGAAUAGUUGGUCUAACCAUCCAAUUUUGUUUUUUCUUCCGUAUAAAGUGGAUAAACACUGAAAGUGGACAUGGCCCUAAUGCUUCACUCCCCGUCGAUACAAGAUAAUUUUUAUAACACGAGUAUCAAUAAUAUAUCUGGCUUUGCAUAUGGCUUGAAAAUUGUUUUAUGUGAUUCUAAUGUGCGAUGAUUCCUCUUGAACUUUGUAGACAAGCGGGAACGAGGAACAUGGGUAAGAGAUGUGGCGAGUGGAGGGAAGAUAUCUCGAGGCAUUCCAAUGAUGCCACAGCAGUAUUACCCAUCUCCAUGCCUGGCUUUGAGAAUCCUGAAAGAAGUUCACAAAUGAGGAGCGAGGUGACAAAUAUUAACCAUACGGGACCUAUUCGAACUCCACCAAGCAUAUCAGAUCAGAUGCGAAGAUACCAUAGUCAUCAUGUCCAAAAAACAUACAUGCAUGCUCACAUGAACAAGGCAAAACAUAUAAGAGUUGGAGAUGAAGCUACUCCAUUACCAACAAAUACUCUGUAUGUUGGUCUGCUUAUAGAAUAAAACAAUGGACCUCGGGACGCGUUUAGAUAGACCUAGUAGGGUCAAUGUGGGACCUAGUAGAACCAGACUUAGUUCUAGUUGUAGCUAUUGAUCUAUCGAGAGUCUUGUGAUGUUUUAGUGAGUGGCGCAAGGCUAGACGAUGACCCUUAGUGAUGGUUUCUUAUGAUUUGUAUUUAAAUUUUCGUUUAAUAAUAUAUGUUUGUAUUUAAAUUUU